GCAGCUUGGAUCAUACCAAUGAUUCCCAGUCUCUGAAUACACAGAAUCCCAGAAGAAUACGAGCAACCACAAGCUACAGUAUAGUCUUGGUUCCAAGUGGAAAAGGCCUAAGGAAAGAGUCCGGGAAGAUGACACUGUUACCAACUUGGGAACUCAGAGCUGAGGAUUGAACCCAGGGCCUUGUGCUUGCUAGGCAAGUGCUCUACCACUGAGCUAAAUCCCCAACCCUGGGAAAUGUCUUUGUAAGUCCAGGGAAGGACACAGCAUGCUAAACCAAGGUGCCCAGUUAUGAAGCAAGGACAAGGAUGGAAUCUCCCUUUCUCCUUCCAGAUUUAAACGUGUGGACUUUGAGAUUGGAACAGUAGGAAGACAAGUACUCCAGACACAUACAAGGCCUGUGGUUCUCUGUUGACCCCAAACCACAAGGGAACAAUGGCCAGUGUUCUUCUCCAUGAUGGCUUACUAAUUCCAGAGAAGCAAAUGCAACAAUGACAGAUUUCUAAAGCACUCAGGUCUUUGCCAUUGGGAUCUUGAAAUGUGAGGUUUUCCUAUUCUGUAUGUGCAAACCCUUUUGGGGUGUUGGGGUGUUUGUAUUAAGAAACUGUGUCUAAAAAGGCCAGAGAGAUGUUUGGAAGUAUUCUGGGCUGUGUAUGCCCACCUGGCAUUUCUAACGCUCAAUCUGUUUUACAUGAAACCAUGAAGUGUGUGGAUUCCUCCAAGUAUUUAAGUGACUCACAUCAAUGACGGUGGCAAAUACAUUGGGCCAAAACACCAUCGGAAACAUCUUUGUCAGCAGGGAGCAGAAGUUGUAUUAAUUAAAAUGUACCAAGAAGGUACAGGGUGCACUCCCGACGAGUCACAGACUAUUUUAAUCCUAAUUAAGAUGUUCCUUCCUGGCAUCUUGCAACACAGAAAAAUUAGAAUAAAAAAGUUGGUGACAUUUCUAGAAGUAGGGUCAGCAGACUCAGAUUGGAUCUUUCUAGCUCAGAACUAGGCAUAUUUUGUUAAGAAGCUACCAUUUUUAAUAAAUUGAUAUUUACCCAGUCUCCUCCCUAUGUUCAGAAAAGGAUAGGGAAAGGUUUUGAGGCAAAGGGUCAAAAACAGGUCAGACUCAGGUGGGAGGAAGGGAGGAGUAUACUGAGAAAUAGUCGCUGGCCUUAUAAAGGAAGCCGAUGUUGAAUGGAGGGUGUUGUCCGCAACCAGGGAUAUGCGGGGACUGUUGUCUUGUAGGUUUUAGGACCUCAGUAUACAGGCCCCAGUCUAGGAAGUUAUAACUAGGUGAGUUCACUAGUGAUGGAUACACUUCCAAGCUUAGAGUUUUCUGUAUGGAAUUUGAAAACCCAAUAAAGCUGGUGAGACAUAUUCUGAGCGUAUGUUAUCACGUACAUAGAUGGUUUGCAGAUCUGUGGUUCUGACUGUGAGCUGACGUUCUACCCAUUGUCAAGAGUUUCAUAGCAAACAGUCUGAGGCAUUAGGUAGUGGGUGAAACUUACUUCAUCUGAAGGGUUCAGUUAAAUAAUCUACAGUCAACAAAUGAGAAGUUUCGUGUUCCUUGGACUUCACAUUCCUGGUAGGCCAUCAGUUUUUAAAUGUCAACAAGCUCAUUCUCUUCCCCCCAAGAAUGAUGGGAGAAUAAAGAAUUGAGAGGAAAUCCAGAGAUUAAGCAUCGGGACUCCUUGAAAGAACCUCCCAGAUGAGAAAAGGAUUGGGGUUUGGUUUGUGGUGAUGUGGAAUAUUGAGAUUGUGGGCACAAAAGUCCUUUUUUUUCCCUUCCAAUUUUAAAAGCUGGAAGAGCAUAUGAAUAAGAAUGGCUUGUGUUGGUCCCAGUGGAAGUGACAUUUGGGACAGUAGAGAAGCUAGACUCUAGCCGGAGGACUAGACCCUGAGUUUGUGUCACUCAACUGGGAAGUAGCAAGGUUACUAGGUCUCACCCUGCCAUCCGAGCACAUCCUUGGUUAAUACUCUCCAGAGCAGAACUCAGAAAGUGGGAGGAUGGGAGGGUAUGACAUAACUGUUGAUUCGCAUGCAUAACCCUGUCAAUUAAAAGACCAAUAAACAGGCAGCUUAAUGGGACAUUAUGUGGCAGAUUACUCUAAUCGGCUCGCCAUAUUGAUUUCUGAGCAUUCUCGAUUUGUUUAUCGGAACAAAGUUUAUUCUCUUUUAAUUACUUUGGAAAUGUGAUGCUGUGUUCCACGGCCUUUUGCGGUGUAUAAUUUUUACAUUGUAGGAGCUUCUCUACCAUAAUUAAUAUUGAACCGGUUCUGGUGAGUUGUUUUAACAAGAUGCAGAUAACGCUAACCAAGUUCAUGCUGUCAGAUCUAAAGUUGGGGUUGCAAAAAAAAAAGAUGGACAGAGAGAUGUGCUGUCAUUGUAAGGGGGAUAUUUGCCUGGAUUCAAUCUAAAUACAUCUCAAAAAAUUGUAAAAUAGAAUCUACCAGCUAAAACUAAUGAGCACAAAACUGCAUUGAUUUGGCCCAGGGUGGACAAAUAGAACAUCUGGCAUAUUUGGCACCAAUGACACAGCUGGCAUUGUUGGAAACGGUUCUGCAGAAGGUACAGAUGCAGAAAUGGGAGAAUUGGUACAAACAGUGCAGAUGGAACAGUUGGAACAGAUGACAGUGGGCAGAGCUGGCGAUGCUGGCACAGGUGUCGUAACCUCCACAGCUGGCACAAGUUGUGACAAUCCUGGGAUUUCUGAGUGCAAGGCACAUGUUCCUGUUGGCGCCGGCUACAGCGAGAUAAGAGCAUUUUAUAAUUAGUAAAUGUGCCAUUUAAAAAAGAACUUUUCUCCCCUCCAUCCUUAAGGACAUCCACCUCCAACUGUUAAAGCUUGGAAUGCAGAGCAUUUUUGCAAAUUAGAAUUUCCCCGAGAAAGCCAUAAUUGAUAAAUACAGAUUUCAUAGAAGAGGCAAUUAGAUAUUUUUUUGUUCUGGUACUGAUGAAAUUCAUGAAUGGGGUUUCUUCAUAGGAGUUUUGUGGGAAAUAAAGGUCAGAUUUUUGGAAGUGAAAGUGAGCUUUGCAUUUAAGUGCAAUGUAUUUGUUAUCAAAUUAGAGGGUUAUUUGUUUCUGAAGUAGAAUGAGUAUUUCCCAUUUGUAUGCAAUUUCCUGUAGAAUCUCACUUGAAGAUGGGGUAUGAAAUUGGAAACCUGUCUACAGAACAGGUUGGAAAAAGAAAAAAAAAAACAAACGCUGGAAUACAAAAUAUGGAGAAAUGAUGAUUUGACACUCUCAAAUACCAGUGGGAUUUGGCUCUGAUUUCAUUUAAAAAUGCUAUAAUUUGGGGCUUAAAUUAAGAACACAAUAUAACAUAAUCUUUUGGGCAAUGGUAUUUUAUAUCAGAUGAAAAGUUGAAAGAACAAAGCAGCUUGUUUGUUAGUAGAAUCACAUUUCUCUUUUUUUUAACAUUUAUUUUAGUGUGUGUGUGUGUGUGUGUGUAUGUGUGUGUGUGCAUUGUGGGGGGGAGUGUGUGUAUGUGUGUGUGUGGUGUGUGUA